rnacentral:rRNA from 1 species
AGAGAACUUAGCAGAGAUGCUUUGGUGCCUUCGGGAACUCUGAGACAGGUGCUGCAUGGCUGUCGUCAGCUCGUGUUGUGAAAUGUUGGGUUAAGUCCCGCAACGAGCGCAACCCUUAUCCUUUGUUGCCAGCGGCUCGGCCGGGAACUCAAAGGAGACUGCCGGUGAUAAACCGGAGGAAGGUGGGGAUGACGUCAAGUCAUCAUGGCCCUUACGGCCAGGGCUACACACGUGCUACAAUGGCGCAUACAAAGAGAAGCGACCUCGCGAGAGCAAGCGGACCUCACAAAGUGCGUCGUAGUCCGGAUUGGAGUCUGCAACUCGACUCCAUGAAGUCGGAAUCGCUAGUAAUCGUAGAUCAGAAUGCUACGGUGAAUACGUUCCCGGGCCUUGUACACACCGCCCGUCACACCAUGGGAGUGGGUUGCAAAAGAAGUAGGUAGCUUAACCUUCGGGAGGGCGCUUACCACUUUGUGAUUCAUGACUGGGGUGAAGUCGUAACAAGGUAGGCGUAGCGAG